rnacentral:rRNA from 1 species
AAUCCUUUAACGAGGAACUAUUGGAGGGCAAGUCUGGUGCCAGCAGCCGCGGUAAUUCCAGCUCCAAUAGCGUAUAUUAAAGUUGUUGCGUCUAAAAAGCUCGUAGUUUGAAAACUUGCCUUGGCUUACAACAGACGUCUAAGGGCGUCACCGUUUGUCGAGAGCAAAUAUGGGUGACUGUUCUUGCCUUCUUCACUGAUUGGCUCGUAAAAGUCAUCGAAGAUCACUUUGAUUAAAUUAGGGUGCUCAAAGCAAGUGUGCUACUUGAAUAUGAAUGCAUGGAAUGAUGGAAUAUGUUGUUGUUCUAUUUGUUGGUUUUUUGAAUGACGAAAUGAUUGAAAGGAACUGUUGGGGGCAUUCGUAUUGUUGUGAGAGAGGUGAAAUUCUUAGACCAUAGCAAGACGAACUACUGCGAAAGCAUUUGCCAAGAAUGUUUUCAUUGAUCAAGAACGAAAGUUAGAGGUUCGAAGGCGAUCAGAUACCGCCCUAGUUCUAACCAUAAACUAUGCCGACUAGCAAUUUGCUUUGUAUUUUUAUGACUAAGUGAGAGGCCACGGGAAACCAAAGUAGGGUUAUGGGGGAAGAAUGGUUGCAAAGCUGAAACUUAAAGGAAUUGACGGAAGGGCACCACCAGGAGUGGAGCCUGCGGCUUAAUUUGACCCAACACGGGAAAACUUACCUGGUCCUGACACUAGAAGGAUUGACAGAUUGAUAGCUCUUUCUUGAUUUGGUGGAUGGUGGUGCAUGGCCGUUCUUAGUUGGUGGAGUGAUUUGUCUGGUUAAUUCCGAUAACGAACGAGACUCUAGCCUAUUAAAUAAUAUGCGGAAUCAAUUUCUCCCGCGUUAUUUCUUAAUGGAAUCAAGCGUGUUUAACGCUUUGAAACAGAGCAAUAACAGGUCUGUGGUGCCCUUAGAUGUUCGGGGCUGCACGCGCGCUACAUUGAAGAACAAAGUGAGCCCUCUGGCUUUUAACAAAGCUAGAAAUCUUUUAAUGUUCUUCUUAAUGGGGAUAGGGGAUUGCAAUUGUGCCCCUUGAACGAGGAAUUCCCAGUAAGUGCUAGUCAUUAGCUAGUACUGAUUACGUCCCUGCCCUUUGUACACACCGCCCGUCGCUACUACCGAUUGAAUAGUUUAGUGAGAUCAUCUGAGUGUUUGUAUGUGCAUUCUGUGCUUGUAUGGUGUACGAAGAAGAUCAAACUUGAUUAUUUAGAGGAAGUAAAAGUCGUAACAAGGUUUCCGUAGGUGAACCUGCGGAAG